rnacentral:rRNA from 1 species
AUUGAACGCUGGCGGAAUGCUUUACACAUGCAAGUCGAACGGCAGCACGGGGGCAACCCUGGUGGCGAGUGGCGAACGGGUGAGUAAUACAUCGGAACGUGCCCAGUCGUGGGGGAUAACGUAGCGAAAGCUACGCUAAUACCGCAUACGAUCUCUGGAUGAAAGCGGGGGACCGCAAGGCCUCGCGCGAUUGGAGCGGCCGAUGGCAGAUUAGGUAGUUGGUGGGGUAAAGGCUCACCAAGCCGACGAUCUGUAGCUGGUCUGAGAGGACGACCAGCCACACUGGGACUGAGACACGGCCCAGACUCCUACGGGAGGCAGCAGUGGGGGAAUUUUGGACAAUGGGCGAAAGCCUGAUCCAGCCAUUCCGCGUGCAGGACGAAG